rnacentral:misc_RNA from 1 species
UAUCUAAAUUUUUUUUCAGAAAUUGUUAUCUAUUUUUAAGAUGGUUGGUAUGAGCGAGGAGCAGGUUGUAAAAGUUAGAUCAGAUCUAUUAUUAACCCAGCAGAAUAUGGCGGUUUUCAGUGAAAUGCUGACGGAGCUUACUCCUGGGAAAGAACAUCCUCAGGAUAAAUCUUUAUUUGAUGAGCUUUAUGUUACCUGUAGAUCAAUGCAGACUAGAUUAGUUGAACUUAUAGAUCAGGUGGAUGAUGACCAGCUGACCGCUGAGCUCCUGGAGGUCAACGACGACAUGAACAACCUGUUCCUAAGAUAUGACAGAUAUGAGAAAAACAAAGGACAAAGCCAAGGAGCAAUCAGACGAACUCCAGCUGGCCCCCCAGCCCCCAGACCAGUAUCUGAAGUACCUUUAAUUGAUUUCUCUGGGUCUGAAGCUGAACCUACUUCCCUUCCACUACCUAGCCUCGUUAAAAUAAAGGAUGAAGAUAUGGCUAAUGUGGCGGACUGGAUCGGAGACAAGGAUGUGGUUGAGGGGUUGGAGGGAGGAACUACAAGCGAGUUUGAUAGAUUUCUUGCAGAGAGAGCAGCAGCUCCAGAACCGAGCAGAAAAUCAGACUAGAACAGCUAUUAUCAACUCAAGCAGGAAAUAAGUCUAGAACUGCUCUCAUAAACUCAAGCAGAAAAUCAGACUAGAUUUGCUGAUAGAAAUCCAAACAAAAAAUCACUGCACCUUGGAUGUUCAAUAAAAAAUUGAUAAAAAAACUUUUUAUUACUUUUAAACCUAAAUAAAUAUGAGACAAUGAUCACUCCUCUGAAUACUGCUGUCAUAACAUCCUUUUAAUCUGGACAAUAAAGGAAAAACUUUAUUUCAAAUCUCAAAAUAAAUUAUUAAUUACUUUAAGAGACUGUUCAGAUAUUUGAGGAGUUGGUAGGAUACCGAGUUUUGAACCAGAGUUCUAAGUUGCAGGAUACUUCUAACCGAUAACUUUCCUGUUUUUACAGCAGAUCUUAGAUUCUUGAUAUUUAGCGUUUUAAAUGUAAAACUAAGUUUCAAAUAUUUCAAACACCACAGAAAUGGAAAAAAAAAACACCUUUUAGUGCAGUUUAUUUUUGAAACUUAAGAAUGGUAUUAUUUAAAACAAGUAUCUUCCACUUAACAUAAAUAUCUGGACAAUCCGUUAAAAUACAGUUUUACUUUUUGAAACGUGAUUCUCAAAACCUUGUUUUUAUUUUUCAUCGACUACUUAAUUUCAGUGAGCUUACGUUUUCAACUUGAAAAAUUUUAAAAAUUUUCCAUUGUUGAUUUGAAUUUUAUUCUUGUUAAAUAUUAAACCAUUUUUAUAUUUUAAACCGCUAAAAUGUGAUAUAAUUAUUAAUAAUUGUAUUUUUAUAUUUUAAAGAGAUUAACCUUAUAUGUUCAGUUUAGUUUGGUCACUGUAUUGUACUCGAGUUAAGGGAUUUUGUUUAUGUUUUCUGUAUUUGUGAAUAGUUCACUGGGACCCAGAAACCUGUGCAACAAGAACACACUGUUAUGACUUUAAAUAGUCCAAUGAACAUAAAACACAGCAAAGUGUACUGUAUACAAACCAAGAACCUUGAUACAAACCCGUUUCAAUAAGUUUAUUCUCAAGCUACUGUUCAACCUAUUUGCUGUAUAACAACAACAAACACACGUAAGAUUGCUUAAAUUCCGUCUUCAUAUUUUACAGUUUUUUGGGUUUCACUGUGAUUUUUUAUUUUUAUGAAUAUUCAUAAUGUAUAUUAGUUUUAUGAGAUAUAACUCCGCGUAUUUCAUUUGAUCAGCAUUUUUAAACCAUAAGAUUUGUUUUAAGAUCACAAAAGUAUAAUAUAAACAAAGAUACAUCUAUAUUCACACUUUGUUAGAAUUCCUCUCGCCACUAGUCGUCGAAUAUCAAUACAACGAAGACGAUUUAUGAUUUCAAUUUAGUUUUCUAUCACGCUCUUUAAACCUAGCAUGGAUAUAUAUAAUCAAGGAAACAAAUAAAGCAAUUAAAUAACGGCCUCUCUUUUUUACUUGUAAACUUGUAAUUCGAAAAAAAAGCUUAUUAAUUAUCAGAACUCUAAUACAAAAGUCGUCUUCAUUGUAUUGAUAUAAAUACCGACCACUAUACUUAAGUUAAUUUAUGUAUUAUGUUAAGUUUGCACUGUCAGCACAGUAGAUAGAUAUAAUUUAUUUAAGUAUAAGGAUCCAGUUUAAUAUCAGUUUAUCUGAUAAUGAAAAAAUAGCUAUGUUUACUUGGGAUCAUUAUGAUUACAAUUAAAAUUAAUCCAGUCCUGAGAGGUUUUUUUCAAUGUAGAGGUGUACUAUGGCUAAUUCCCCUAAAUACGCCUCCCUAUAUUAUUUAAUUAUUCAUGAAUACACAAACAAUUGGAAUUUAUUGUUUUAUUCUUAUUGGGUUAUGCAGAGAUUAAGUUUUAGCUACUAGAAAAAUUUUUACACAAAAGUUUGUUCUGUUUUUACCAUCAUGCAUAAACUUUAGUUCGUUUAUACCAUAGUCUAUUUUACUAUGUAUAUUUAUCUUGUUAAAAUCUAUGAAUUUUUCUAUAUUUAUUCAUUUAGCUUCAUUUUUAACUCAGCACAGCAUAAUUAUCGACACGAUCACAUUCCACAAUACAACAGGGGUGUUUAUAUUCUCAUUGAUCUUCCCCCCCCCCCCCACCCCGGGAAAAAGUCGUCAACUACAUUUGAGAGAUUAUUGAAACUUUUGUAUAGAUAAUUUUACCUUGGGGUAAAUAUAUAAAAUUUUGGAAAUUUGUUCAUAAGAAGGUAUAAUGCAGAUUAUUCUACCAAAGAUUAGACGAAUUAUGAAAUUCGAGAAAAAUUUACCCCUGUCGUACACCGUGCACUUUAUUGUAAAAGUAUAUUUUCUGUUUCAGAAAA